rnacentral:rRNA from 1 species
GACGAACGCUUGCGGCGUGCCUAAGCUAUGCAAGUCGAGCGGGGUUUGGUUUGAGUCUUCGGACGAUUUCCAAACCUAGCGGCGAACGGGUGAGUAACACGUGAGUAACCUGCCUCGCUGUCCGGGAUAACAGACCGAAAGGGCUGAUAAUACCGGAUAUGAAGCGCCCCCGCCUCAGGGCGCUGGGUAAGGGGUAACCCACAGCGGGGGGGGCUCGCGGCCUAUCAGCGAGUUGGUGAGGUAACGGCCCACCAAGGCGACGACGGGUAGCCGACCUGAGAGGGUGACCGGCCACACGGGGACUGAGACACGGCCCAGACUCCUACGGGAGGCAGCAAGCGGGAAUAUUGCACAAUGGGCGAAAGCCUGAUGCAGCGACGCCGCGUGAGGGAUGAAGGCCUUCGGGUCGUAAACCUCUGUUGGUAGGGACGAUAAUGACGGUACCUACUGAGGAAGCUCCGGCUAACUCCGUGCCAGCCGCCGCCGUAA